rnacentral:rRNA from 1 species
GGUUAAGCGACUAAGCGUACACGGUGGAUGCCUUGGCAGUCAGAGGCGAUGAAGGACGUGCUAAUCUGCGAUAAGCGUCGGUAAGGUGAUAUGAACCGUUAUAACCGGCGAUUUCCGAAUGGGGAAACCCAGUGUGUUUCGACACACUAUCAUUAACUGAAUCCAUAGGUUAAUGAGGCGAACCGGGGGAACUGAAACAUCUAAGUACCCCGAGGAAAAGAAAUCAACCGAGAUUCCCCCAGUAGCGGCGAGCGAACGGGGAGCAGCCCAGAGCCUGAAUCAGUGUGUGUGUUAGUGGAAGCGUCUGGAAAGGCGCGCGAUACAGGGUGACAGCCCCGUACACAAAAAUGCACAUACUGUGAGCUCGAUGAGUAGGGCGGGACACGUGGUAUCCUGUCUGAAUAUGGGGGGACCAUCCUCCAAGGCUAAAUACUCCUGACUGACCGAUAGUGAACCAGUACCGUGAGGGAAAGGCGAAAAGAACCCCGGCGAGGGGAGUGAAAAAGAACCUGAAACCGUGUACGUACAAGCAGUGGGAGCCUCUUUAUGGGGUGACUGCGUACCUUUUGUAUAAUGGGUCAGCGACUUAUAUUCUGUAGCAAGGUUAACCGAAUAGGGGAGCCGAAGGGAAACCGAGUCUUAACUGGGCGUUAAGUUGCAGGGUAUAGACCCGAAACCCGGUGAUCUAGCCAUGGGCAGGUUGAAGGUUGGGUAACACUAA